AACGUAGGAGACAAACGUUAUCCGGAGUUACUGGGCGUAAAGGGCGUGUAGGCGGUUAGUUAAGUCUGUCGUGAAAUCCCCGGGCUUAACCUGGGAAUGGCGAUGGAGACUGCGAGGCUAGAGUUUGGCAGAGGGGGGUAGAAUUCCACGUGUAGCAGUGAAAUGCGUAGAGAUGUGGAGGAACACCGAUGGCGAAGGCAGCCCCCUGGGUCAAAACUGACGCUCAUGCACGAAAGCGUGGGGAGCAAACAGG
rnacentral:rRNA from 1 species